rnacentral:lncRNA from 1 species
GCUGAAAGCGGCAAGUGGUGAGAUUCUGUUUGCUCUCCGCUCCCUGGGCUUGUAGUUUUUUACAGCGAAAAUCAUUUCCACCAAAAUACCUAGACUCUCUGAACCCUUGUUUUUAAAGGAAGAUCUGCACCACCGUGAUAAACAACAAGCGCGAACAAAAGACCUGAUUUCAAACUGGAAAUUGCGAAGGCAUACAUAUCUGGAUCUCCAAGGAUAUUCUUUGACUUAUUGAAGAUGCAAAAAAAAACACAUUUCUGAUUUAAUAAGUAAAGAAGCUUACGGUGUAUACGAGUUGGAGUUCGAUAACUAACAUGGGUAUGUUUUUGGCUUUAGCUAUGGGCUAAUUAUAUAGAGACUAAUUUGUUAUGUAUACACCAAUACUCUUUCAGUGGCAAAAACACAAGGAAAGGAAAGGGUUGAGAUAUUCAGCUUUUUUAAUAGCUUUUGAGUUUAACAGAAACAAGUCGAACCAAAGCUAAAAGUCGAGGAUCCCUUUAGGCUGCUAAACUGACUUUGAUUUAAUGAUUUACAGACUAAUAUCGGGCUGAAAGAACAAAAGAAUUGUGUCAUAACUAUUUGAAAAAAAAUCGAUCAAUCAGCAUAUUUAAAAGAAGAAUUUUCAUCACAGAUUCUUGACAGCUAUAUGCUUUAUUUUAAUGCAAUAGUGCUAAUGAAAAUAGGGAAAAUUCGGGGUCAUCAUUAGCGGCUUGGCUAUUAAAAAGAAAAUAUUUUCUUUUAAAGCAUUACUCAAUAAACUUGAAC